GGGAAUGUACCUCAAGUAGAGUUAUGGCCUUUUGGGAAGUGAUGUGGGUUCAAAUCCCAUCAUUCCCU
rnacentral:tRNA from 1 species